AGAGUUUGAUCCUGGCUCAGAUUGAACGCUGGCGGCAUGCCUUACACAUGCAAGUCGAACGGCAGCGCGGGUGCUUGCACCUGGCGGCGAGUGGCGAACGGGUGAGUAAUAUAUCGGAACGUGCCCUAGAGUGGGGGAUAACUAGUCGAAAGAUUAGCUAAUACCGCAUACGAUCUACGGAUGAAAGUGGGGGAUCGCAAGGCCUCAUGCUCCUGGAGCGGCCGAUAUCUGAUUAGCUAGUUGGUGGGGUAAAAGCCUACCAAGGCGACGAUCAGUAGCUGGUCUGAGAGGACGACCAGCCACACUGGGGACUGAGGCACGGCCCAGACUCCUACGGGAGGCAGCAGUGGGGAAUUUUGGACAAUGGGGGCAACCCUGAUCCAGCAAUGCCGCGUGUGUGAAGAAGGCCUUCGGGUUGUAAAGCACUUUUGUCAGGAACGAAACGGUGGGGGCUAAUACCUCCUGCUAAUGACGGUACCUGAAGAAUAAGCACCGGCUAACUACGUGCCAGCAGCCGCGGU
rnacentral:rRNA from 1 species